UCAUCAUCCGCCGGUGGGACAAUCUUCCUUUCUCUCUCUUUCAGCUGGAAUAAGCAGAUAUCUCCCGUCUCGUGUCUGAAAACGUAUCCAAAUGUUCCAUCCAUUCCGUAAUCUUCCAGGGCCCAUUUCCCACCCAAUGACUCGGACGGAGGCAUCGGAGUACGACUCAGAAACACUCUACUUUUCUGAGGGGAGUCGAGACGUCCAGCAGCUGAUGGGUAAUCCAGAAGAAGUUUCCCCUCAGUCAGGGGGGAGCUCCACUUUGAAGCAGGAGACUCCACAACCACCCUGCAUUAAAAAGGAAGAGGAGGAACUCUGCAUCACUCAGGAGGGAGAGUGUCUUCUAGGACGAGAGGAAGCUGAUUACACCAAGUUUCCACUGACUGUUGUCUCUGUGAAGACUGAAGAUGAUGAAGAGAAACCACAAGUAGACAACCUCUUAGCUCCACUAUCAGACAGUGAGGCUGAAGACGAGGUUGAAGAACCUUUGAGCAUCGAUACAGACUGUGAAGGUGAUAUGAGGACUCACACUGACAACAAACGCUCUGAAUGCUCUACAAAGAAGAGAGGUGAAAAAUGUUUGAGCUGCUUAGUUUGUGCUGAAAGUUUUACUACAAAGAGCCAUUUGAAUCGACACAUGAAAACACACACAGGUGAAAAACCAUUUAGUUGUUCUGUUUGUGGCAAAAGCUUUUCUAAAAAAAGACGUUUAACUCUACACAUGAGAACACACACAGGUGAAAAACCAUUUAAUUGUUCAGUUUGUGGCAAAAACUUUUCUAAAAUGGACCAUUUGACUCAACACAUGAGAACACACACAGGUGAAAAACCAUUUAAUUGUUCAGUUUGUGGCAAAAACUUUUCUAAAAUGGACCAUUUGACUGAACACAUGAGAACACACACAGGUGAAAAACCAUUUAAUUGUUCAGUUUGUGACAAAAGCUUUUGUCAAAGUGGCUCUUUGACUGCACACAUGAGAACACACACAGGUGAAACACCAUUUAGUUGUUCAGUUUGUGGCAAAAGCUUUUCUCAAAAUCAACAUUUGACUAAACACAUGAGAACACAUACAGGUGAAAAACCAUUUAGUUGUUCAGUGUGCUGUAAAAGGUUCUCACAUAAAGCAGAUGCAGUAAAACACACAAGAACACACACAAGGGAAAAUAAGCAAUUAGCUGUUUAGUUUGUGGUAUGUUGCUCAUAUGUGGCGACAUCCACCCUACCCAGGACCUCCUCACUGCUUCUUUCACUAAUAUCUGAGGUAUUCAUACAAACUUGGAUUAUUUGGAGCAUAAUCUUAUCCACUCAUGACCCCAUGUCUUCUCUGUAUCUGAAACCUUCCUGAACAGUAAGAUAGAUGAUGCUUCAAGUGCUUGGUUACUCCUUCUUCAGUCCAGGGACCUGGGGCCUCAUUUGUCAAGUUUGUGCACGCUCAAAAACCUGCACUACACCCUUUUUCACUGCAAAGUUGAGAUGUAUCAAAACUGAUGUUGAUGCAUAAUUGAUGCUGGGUAACUGUUUGCAUAACAAACUGCCAACUUUUACACCUCAGACUGAUGGAUGUGCAAAUCAGAGAGAUAUUAACAAUCAACCCCCAACACCCACAACCCAAGUCCCACCUAUCCGACAUUCGGGCAUAACAGGUUCAAUCCGGCCAGCGAGAUGAGUUUGUGAAGUGUAAAAUUCAGCUGCAUUUUUUAGUGAAAGAAACUGCUGCUCUAAUUGUGUCCACUGGAUGUCGCAAUAGCAAUUCUGUUAGGCAAGCAAAUAGCAUAGCAAGUAUACCAAGCAAGAGCGGGGCUGUGACUCCUCCCCCUCCACCCAACGUAAAAGAGGAGUAAAAUAAUCAAUCAGUAACCCCACUUCAAAUGCAGCAUGAGACACUGCACCCUGAUAUAGUUCUGUGAAAAUGAUUGUCUUCUGUGCAAAUGUAAAGAAAGUGAACAGUGUGUGAUUUACUGCAAUACUGUCAGUCUUUCAACUUUUUGUUUGUGCUCUGUUGAAAUUGUUUAUCUAAGUUCAUUGCGUUCUUUAAAGGGGAACAUUAUCAGCAGACCUAUGCAGGCAUCAAUAUAUACCUUGAUGAUGCAGAAAAAAGACCAUAUUUUUUUUUUACCGAUUUCCGAACUCUAAAUGGGUGAAUUUUGGCGAAUUAAUCGCCUUUCUGUUUAUCACUCUGGAAGCGAUGACGUCAGAAUGUGACGUCGCCGAGGUAACACAGCUGCCAUUUUCAUUUUCAACACAUUGUAAACAUUGGGUCUCUUCUCUGUUAUUUUACGUUUUUUCGACUAUUUUUUGGAACCUUGGAGACAUCAUGCCUCGUUGGUGUGUUGUCGGAGGGUGUAACAACACUAACAGGGAGGGAUUCAAGUUGCACCACUGGCCCGAAGAUCCCAAAGUGUCUGCCGCCAGACCCCCAUUGAAUGUGCCAGAGUGUCUCCACAUUUGACCGGCGAUGCUAAGACAGACAUGGCACAGAGAUGUAUGGAUAACCUGCAGAUGCAUUUGCAACGAUAGUCAACGAAAUCACAAAGGUGAGUUUUGUUGAUGUUGACUGCCAGCUAAUCGAUGCUAACAUGCUACGC